CGGGGGGAGCAAGCGUUGUUCGGAUUUACUGGGCGUAAAGGGCGCGUAGGCGGCCACGACAAGUCACUUGUGAAAUCUCCGGGCUUAACUCGGAACGGUCAAGUGAUACUGUCGGGCUAGAGUGCAGAAGGGGCAACUGGAAUUCUCGGUGUAGCGGUGAAAUGCGUAGAUAUCGAGAGGAACACCUGCGGCGAAGGCGGGUUGCUGGGCUGACACUGACGCUGAGGCGCGAAAGCCAGGGGAGCGAACGGGAUUAGAUACCCCGGUAGUCCUGGCCUUAAACGAUGAAUGCUUGGUGUCUCGGGUUACAUAGUCCCGGGGUGCCGUCGCUAACGCUUUUAGCAUUCCGCCUGGGGAGUACGGUCGUAAGACUG
rnacentral:rRNA from 1 species